rnacentral:rRNA from 1 species
CUCAGGAUAGCUGGAACUUUUUUAGAAUAGUUUUAUCAGGUAAAGCGAAUGAUUAGAAGCUCUGGGGAUGAAACAUCCUCGACUUAUUCUCAAACUUUAAAUAGGUAAGAAGACUGCAGUACUUAAUUGACUGUCAGUCUCUUGAAUAGUAAGUUCUUAGUGGGCCAUUUUUGGUAAGCAGAACUGGCGAUGUGGGAUGAACCAAACGUAAAGUUAAAGUGCCUAAAAAUACGUUCAUCAGAUACCACAAAAGGUGUUGAUUCAUCUUGACAGUUGGACAGUGGCCAUGGAAGUCGGAAUCUGCUAAGGAGUGUGUAACAACUCACCAACCGAAUGAAUUAGCCCUGAAAAUGGAUGGCGCUUAAACGUAUUACUUAUACUUACCAUUAAGAUAAAUAGUCUAAAUACUUAAUUAGAGUAGGAGGGCGGUAUGGAGUAAUUU